UCCAGAGGUGCCAAGCGUUAGUCGGAAUCACUGGGCUUAAAGCGCGCGUAGGCGGAUGUUUAAGUGUCUUGUGAAAUCCCACGGCUCAACCGUGGAACUGCUGGGCAUACUGGACAUCUCGAGGCACUCAGGGGCGAGCGGAACAAGUGGUGGAGCGGUGAAAUGCGUAGAUAUGUGGAGGAACACCGAUGGCGAAGGCAGCCUCCUGGGCCAGCACUGACGCUCAUGCACGAAAGCGUGGGGAGCAAACAGG
rnacentral:rRNA from 1 species